AAUCAACACUCCACUCAGACAAUGCCCAGACCUCCAGAAACCAUGUGUCAAGCUCGGAUUGCCUUAGACAGGUGCAAUUUAAGAACAGCUUUCAUCCUCUUUUCUCUCAUAUUGUCACACUAUGUGUUCUGACUUCUGGCUCCUUUCCUCACAAGAAGCUCACCCAGCUGGAACUCUUAUGGGACCUUGGCACCAGAGACCACAAAUUCCUCUUUGAAGUUUUCUAACAGCAACAAUGGUAUUUCUGACUUGGCUUUCUUGUAUUUCUCUCACGUUAACAAAAUUGGUUCAGCAUCUACCAUGGGCUACAUGCUGAGCUACAGAGUUUCGCUCUGUCGCCCAGGCUGGAGUGCAGUGGCGCGCGAUCUCGGUUCACUGCAAGCUCCACCUCCCGGGUUCACGCCAUUCUCCUGCCUCAGCCUCCUGAGUAGCUGGGACUACAGGCGCCCGCCACCACACCCAGGAAUCCAACUUGCUGUUUGCUAUCACAUGUGCUAUACAUGCUGUUGAUGAAACUGCUAAAGGGGCUGAAUGUGACUGACGUCUUUGGAAGGAUGAGACUUAGCGUGCCUGUACAGUUGUGUCCAAAUGCUGUCCUCAUCUCCCAAUGAAAAGGUAUUGUAAAUAAAGAGAAAGAUCAGAGGCUUAUUUUAAACACUAAAUAUGAGCUAGGAGCUGUCCUAGACACUAUGUAAAAGUUUUAUUUAGUUCUCACUGUAAUGUUGGCCUUAUGUUAGCAUCCCAUUUUUCAGACUGAGGAAAUUAUGGCUCAGAGAGGUUAAGAGACUUAUUGAAGGUCACACAGCUCCACAAACUUUGGUGUAGAUUGAACGUGUACAUGGGUCUAUGUGACUUUGAAUCUUGCAUUCUUUACAUUAUUGGAAUAUUUCACAGAAGGAAAAUGACAUAUUAACAUGGCAAUAAGAUUUCUGGUUCCAGUCUGGUUACUGGUCUUCCAAGAGUGUUAUAGGAUGUAUAGCCUGAGCUCUGAAGCUUUGUUCUGAAGCAUGCUAUCAAUAUGAACAAAUUGGUAUGGAAGGAAGCCACAAAUUAUAUACUAAAAUCUAGUUCAUCAGAGGAAAAUAUAGUUAAAUACAUUUACAUUCCCAGAACUGUUAAUAUUGAAGAAUAAAACACACAGUGGGAAAGAGACGAAGAGAAAAUACGCCUGUUUUUAUGACUUGUUGAUAUCUACAGGGUUUUUCCUUAAGCCUCACAACAAUUUACAGCAUUGCCAGCAGCAUUCAGUACAUUCAGAACAGGAUAAUUUCACCCGCAGCUGAACUAGGGCCAUGCCUGGGACAGACAGAGAAUGGCCUUCCAGCAGACAUGCCAAGAAGCAAGCCAGGGUCAGUGAGUGAAGAGGAGGGCAGGCCCAUUUGAAGCAACACAGUUUAUGUAAGUGUGAUCUAACUGCUUUCACUGGAAAUGGGUCAGACUCCAGUUGAGAGAACCAGGGGCCUGAAUGACCCCAGCAAAAUCACUGUGGCAAUUCUUUCAAUCACCUCUGAGAAUAUGGCCCUGUGACGACAUAAUGACGUUUGGAUUAAUUCCAGUCGGCUGUGUUUUCCCCUCCUUUCUUGCCUCCCCGUAGUUGAUUUGCCAAAUUUUUUUUGUUUGCUUAAAUACGCGGAACUAAACAGGAUACAUUAUAUGACAGUCUGUGAUAAAUUUACCACUGGGAAUAGGGAAAAAGUAUGGGAUAAAGAAAUAGGUAUUUUUCGCCUCUCACAGCUGUGAUUCAGUUCUGACUCAAAAGGAAGUGUGCCACCUACUGAAUCACAGAAACCACUUCCUGUGGCUGUUUGGUUUAUUCUGGAGGAGCAUCAGGCCAAGUGCUGCCCUGCCCUGACCCUGACUGGCUCUUCAGAGCCAAGGCAUUCACAGCUUGAGGUGGUUUGGCCUCAGACUCUUGAGAACAUUGCAUAUUAAAUUACAAGUGUUUCGUUUCCUAGCAAGGAGUCUUUAGCAACAUGAAAACGAACGUGUGUUAUUUGCAAACCAAGUAUAUCAUUACUGAACCUGAAUAUCCUUACUUUUUCAUAAGGUACGUAUUCCGGAUGACCACUCUUAAGAUCUGAAUGUACACUGGUUCUGUUUUUCCUGAGGGGAACUUGGGCAGUCUGCAGGGUGGCAUUUACCAGCUGAGGGACUUCAAGAGCACCCUUUAAUCAGUGUGGCAGCACUCAACUUGUAUUCACUCACUCAGAGUAUUUUUGAGCAUGUACUUAUUGCCAUGUGCUGUGCUAGGUAGGGGUAGAGGGUACAGUGGUGAACAAGACCCCACAGCUCCUGACCUCAUGGCUCAUGUGUUCUACACCAUAAGGGAAUCAAGCUGUGUCUCCCGGGGCAGGGGCCUUCCUCUGUUCACCAUGCAGCCCCAGCAUCUAGCACCUGGCGUUGCAUAAAGGAGGCUCUAAAUCAAGCUUGUCCAACCCAAGGCCCACGGGCCACAUGUGGCCCAGGAUGGCUUUGAAUGCAGCCAAACACAAAUUUGUAAACUUUCUUAAAACAUUAUAAGAUUUGUGUGUAUGUGUUUUAGUCCAUCAGCUAUUGUUAGUGUUCAUGUAUUUUAUGUGUGGCCCAAGACAAUUCUUCUAUGUGGCCCAAGGAAACCAAAGAUUGAACACUCCUGCUCUAAAUACUUGUUUGUUGAAUAGAUACAUGAAAAG
rnacentral:lncRNA from 1 species